rnacentral:rRNA from 1 species
UCUGUAGGUGGCUUGCUAAGUCAGACGUGAAAUCCCUCGGCUUAACCGGGGAACUGCGUUUGAUACUGGCGAGCUUGAGUGCAGGAGAGGAACGCGGAAUUCCAGGUGUAGCGGUGAAAUGCGUAGAUAUCUGGAGGAACACCGGUGGCGAAGGCGGCGUUCUGGACUGCAACUGACACUGAGAGACGAAAGCCAGGGAGCAAACG